rnacentral:tRNA from 2 species
GGCUUAGUAGCUCAGUUGGUAGAGCAACGGAUUGAAGCUCCGUGUGUCGGCAGUUCGAUUCUGUCCUGAGCCACCU